rnacentral:misc_RNA from 1 species
UUAAGUUCAGCGGGUAGUCCUACCUGAUUUGAGGUCAAAUUGUCAUGUAUUGUCUGAGUAAACAGACGGUUGGAAGCAGUGCAAACCCAUAUGAUUGUAGAUGUCCACGGCGUAGAUAAUUAUCACACCAAUAGACAGUCCACGCGGGGCACCAGCUAAUGCAUUUAAGGGGAGCUGACAUUCUGUGAAGCCAGCAAAAU